UAUCUACGGGAGGCAGCAGUGAGGAAUAUUGGUCAAUGGUCGGGAGACUGAACCAGCCAAGCCGCGUGAGGGAGGAAGGUACAGAGUAUCGUAAACCUCUUUUGUCAGGGAACAAAGGCGGGGACGUGUCCCCGGAUGAGUGUACCUGAAGAAAAAGCAUCGGCUAACUCCGUGCCAGCAGCCGCGGUAAUACGGAGGAUGCGAGCGUUAUCCGGAUUUAUUGGGUUUAAAGGGUGCGCAGGCGGUCUCGUAAGUCAGCGGUCAAAGUGCGGGGCUCCACCUCGGCCCGCCGGUGAAACUGGCAG
rnacentral:rRNA from 1 species